rnacentral:rRNA from 1 species
GACGAACGCUGGCGGCGUGCCUAAUACAUGCAAGUUGAGCGCUGAAGGUUGGUACUUGUACCAACUGGAUGAGCAGCGAACGGGUGAGUAACGCGUGGGGAAUCUGCCUUUGAGCGGGGGACAACAUUUGGAAACGAAUGCUAAUACCGCAUAAAAACUUUAAACACAAGUUUUAAGUUUGAAAGAUGCAAUUGCAUCACUCAAAGAUGAUCCCGCGUUGUAUUAGCUAGUUGGUGAGGUAAAGGCUCACCAAGGCGAUGAUACAUAGCCGACCUGAGAGGGUGAUCGGCCACAUUGGGACUGAGACACGGCCCAAACUCCUACGGGAGGCAGCAGUAGGGAAUCGUCGGCAAUGGACGAAAGUCUGACCGAGCAACGCCGCGUGAGUGAAGAAGGUUUUCGGAUCGUAAAACUCGGUUGGUAGAGAAGAACGUUGGUGAGAGUGGAAAGCUCAUCAAGUGACGGUAACUACCCAGAAAGGGACGGCUAACUACGUG